UCCAUGGCCUCUGCAUCAGCUCCUGCUCCCUGACCUGCUUGAGUUCCAGUCCUGACUUCUUUCAGUGAUGAACAGCAAUGUGGAAAUUUGUCUGAAAGUGAGCAGCUGGUUACACCAUGAAUUCCCCUCCACAGUGCUCUGCCUUACCAUAGACUCAUAAGUAACAGGACCCUUUCUGCCAUCUGGAUCAUCUACUUUCUGCUUCUUGACCAAGACACACACAUGAGCAAACAGGCUACUCUUCCAAGCCUGGGGAAUGUUAUCCUCUGCAUAAUAUCUGUGUUCACAGUGGAGGUUAACUCUUGUCUGACCACGUAUAUGCUACAAAGCUCAAAAGAGAAAGGAGGAUAUGGGGGAAGCUGAACUUGAAAGAAGGCAGAGGAAAUGGAAGGCCUACAAGUGCUGGGAUUAGAAGCAUGUACCACUACAACUGGCUUAUUCUUUAAAAUAUGGAUUCUAGCAAUUGGAUCAUGUCCUUGUUCUGGCAAAGUCAACACUUUACCAACUAUAUUAUCUCCCCAUCCCUGCAACUCAAUGAUUUUUAUAUAGUGUUUAAAAUAGGGAUACAAAUCAAAGAUAUUCUGAAAAUAAAUCAUAAAUAAAUGUAUUUUAAAAUAA
rnacentral:lncRNA from 1 species